AAGUUGAGUCGAAAAUUGCAUAAACUCAUUUGUAUAAUGCACACGCUCUGCCAUCCAAUCCCGGGCCCCACCCCCCAGACCCCAAGCCCCCCUAGUUUUUCCCGAUCUUCCUCUGUCUUUUGUGUGUGAGUGUGUCCCGCUCAUCUGCAUAUGCAGCGAUGGAAGCGCUGAAAACUAUGACUCGAAAAUGUGACCUGCUGGAUGCGCAGUCGGGAAAAUGGGAAAAUUUGCAAGCGGGAGUUUAGGGGGUCGGAGUGGCAUGGCCUGGCCUUGGGCGACAUUUAGCACUCGCCACGUAGCCUGGCCGCCACGCCCACCCACUUGGCCGCCCCUUCUACCAAAUUUGGCCCCGAACAUGGCGGAGCUUAACUGUGACACAUUUUACACAUAAUUUUCAACACCUAAAUCCGCAAGUUAGUGCCAACCAUCAGAUUUUGCACACGUUAACGCAAACAUAAAGCGUCGGAUCUCGGAUUUUCGACUGUGCGGCGGAACAGGAGCAGGACCUAAAAAGGAUGCGCAGCUGGACCAACCAGUGCAUCCGAAAGCGAAGGAAAGUCAAGUGAAUAUCCAACGCAGAUCAUCGACCUCAUCGACAUCGAAAACAAUCUGUCUUCGCGCCGAAACUUUCAAUGGACAGUUCAUAAAAGGACACAAAGAAGGCAAAGAAGCAACUUAAAAUGUGUUUGUAUAAUUUCGAGCCAUUUAAAGUUAAUUCGUUUGCAUUUAUCCAACCAUCGAGUGAGCCCCAAAAACAAAUGCAAAAGAAUGCUCAUCCCUGGAGGAUUUCCCCUACCUAGUGUCUCCAUAACUCAAUGGGAACCUAUUGAAUCACAGAAAAUUAACAUGCAUAUAUCUGGCCAAUGCGAUGCGACUCGAUCUGAUGUGAUGGAGAAGCUCGUGCAGAGCCCACAAGGACACAUGUCGCCCCAUGGAGAGCCCCAGCCCGCCAGUCCUGUGAAUCAGAACAGGACUCUUGUGCCGUUUGGCAUACGAAAUAAGCACAAACAAAUUCGAUAACAAAUGGUUUGGAAUCAAGACAACAACAAUGCAGGGGCUAUAUACCAUAUAUUUAUACAGCAGGAGGAGGUGGGCAAAGAGCGAAGGACGCUGGUGAGUUUAGGAACAAAUGACAUAUUGUCGGGGGCAGAAAAAUCCCGGAGAAUGGGAGUCAGCAUAUGGUUAGCCUGAUGUGACUUUCAGUUGGUUUUUGUUUGUGUUUAACGUAAAUAUAAAAUUUAUUAUCCAGCGAAGCGCAUAAAUUAGCCAAACAAGAAAUCAGAAGCAGACGCAAAUUGAGACCAAAACCCACACAUCCCCAAUGAACUCGACUUGAUGAUAAUAACAAAUGAAAUCAAAUAGGUGGAAUGUGGGAUAUGGGAGCCAUAUGGGAGGGACCAACGGAUCCCAAAGCAACCAUCAUUAAUUGUGGAGAGUUCACAAUUUGGAUUAAUGAACUAUUAAAUGCGGUUCUCAAUUUACGAAGCGCUGAACCAAUUAAACUGUCUUUGUGGAGUAUAUAUGAGUGGCUUUUAGCCAGUUAAAUGUCAUUUUAAAUGAUUUUUUCCACAUGAGGAAAUUUGAACAGUGCUGGCACCCUUAAUAAUUUAGAAAACAUUUCGUAUGUGUUUUUAUUUCAUUAUUGUUAAGGCUUAAACAAACAAACAUUCUUUUACUAGAUUGAACUCCUUAAACAUAAAAAUUAAAUAUUUUUUCUAAAAUAUUCCUUUUAAUUUAAUGUUUACAUCUAGACGUUUACGCACUAUUGAUACCCUGUACUGGAACUCACCUCAAUAACAUGAUGAAAUAAAAGCAGUAAAGCCAUGUUUUUUGAGAGUGCACUCUAGCUCCACCUACCGGCAGUCUGCAAGUUAAGGAAGUAAAUUCUCAGUGUUAAUUUCCCACCCACAUUUAUAUUGAUUAUUGAUUAUUGUAUUGAGUAUCUUUAGUUGUUUAUAACUUCCUUAGUAAAUAUCAAAUUUCGCAUCCAAAUAAACCCUCUGGGCCUUUGAUAUCAUUAGAUUCACACUUAAUCAUGAGCAGGCUAAUUAGAUGUCUUUCGUUUGGCGCAUACAAGUGGUAAUUUUCCCAAAACAAAGCACACGCUCGCAGUCGGUUAAUUAACACAUUUUCGCAGAUUUCACAGUUUUCGCAGCCUUUCCCGGAACACUUUGUUCUUAGCAGGGGCGCAAAAAGGGGCAAAAACCUGGGGCAACGUGGCUUUUGAUGUGUUCCGACCAUAACUUUGCGGCCCAAAGUCGCUGCCAAGGCUAAGGACCUCCCUGUAUGCAAAGUCCCUUGAAAAAAAGUAUCUGCAAAUUCCCAGCAAAAUCCAUGGCAACAUAACCAGCAGGCAGCGGUAACGAAAAGUUUUUGGACAAACCGGGCCGAAAACUUUCAAGAUUCACAACUGCAACACUUGCAGUGUGUUGAAAGUGCACGCACACUGGCCUAAUCCCGCUCACAGAUACUCCACACAGACAAACACCCAUUGCGCACAUCCUGCAUAUCCUGCCUGUUUACCAAAUGAGUUUUGUGCUAGUUUGUUUAAUGCCUGGGGCCGCAAAAUUUAUGACGACAUGCCGAAGGGGUACCAGCAAGGGGAUGGAGUCCUAUCUAUCCGGAGAGUUUCUUGGUGUAAUGGACAGAUAACUGUUGCCUAAUUGUUCUGACAUUCAUAUGCAGCGAUGGUGGCAGUCAUAAAAGUUUCAUUCCAUUAAAUUCGUUCUCGAUUCAUGUAGUUUUAUUUUAACUCUGAAGUUUUGAGGCUACCCAAUGCAGCUUGAUCAAUUGGAAAACUAAUUAGAGCUUGACCUCUGGGGCAGCAACAAAUUAUGGUUUGGUUAAAAGUGUACAAUAAGAUUUAACAGAUCAAACUUUAUAUACAUAUAUAUAUGUAUAUGUAAAUCAUGACAUAUCACGACUGUUCUACGCAAGCAACAGUUCGGCAAAUUUAAUGAUUGCGUAAUUUAUUCCCGUAUUUUUAGAUUAAUUCUGGAUUUCCGAAACGUUUAAUCAAUUAAUUUAUUCAAUUAAAUUUUUACUGUCAAUGGCAGCUCCGCAUCCUCCGCAUGUCCUAGUUUAUGGUGGUGCAUUAUUUUUUGGAAUUCCAAUGCUCGUGAAAGGCGGUGCACCUGUUGCCUGGACAACGGUGACACCGAGUUCCACAGCACACGUGGGACAUAAAUUCCAUUUCAUUUAGCUCUUAAUUCAAUUUUAUUUAAGGGGGUUCGUUCGGGGCGACGCAAUUAUCGAAUGCCCCACGUAAAUUAACCCAGAAACGUUUCCAUGCAUAAAAUGCCAAAAAUUUAACUAAAAUUAUGCACAUUUGUGCGGCAGAGGGAGGAGGGGGUGAACAUAAAGAGACUGGCAAAAAAGCCACCAAAAGCAACGGCCUUUUGAAUAGGACUUCCCAACUCCCCGGCUGGAAUGCAUAAAACGCUGAUUGCAGCGUGUUUCACCCGCGUUUUACCCUUUUUAUUUCAGCGAACGUGACUGAAUUUACACGCAAAUAAAUACAAAACUAUGGUAAGAGCAGCUACUGCAACAAGAAAAACGGC